rnacentral:pre_miRNA from 1 species
CUGGCUUUGGUGCUGGAGAACAGCUCUGGGCAGGCCUUUGCUCUGGUCCCUGCUGGGACCCACACUCUUGCUCCAGCCUG